GAGAAAAAAAAUCUCCAGUUCCACACAGGUUUUCCUUCCUGUUGUUUGCUUAGGGAAUCGAAGAGGGGGGAGUGAUAAAAGGAAGAGGCAGGGCAGGACAGAGUCGCGGGAGGGGGGACCCAGAGGGGAAGGCACUGACCACAACGUGCCCAACCAGUAGCCUUGCCUCCCGCGGUCAUUAACCUUGCUGGGAAAAGCAAGGGAAGCUCCCCGGCAAGGCUUGUCAUUCGGAGAAUGUGAGCCAAGCCAAGAGACCACUGCAGACACGUUUCCGGCAAGCUGCUCCUUUCCCAGGCGAAGUGGGAUUAAAAGAGCAGGGUCCCCUUGCCGUGCGCCCAUCCGCCGACAUGAGAUUCCCGCAGCUCCUUUUGAGCUGGGUUUUGCUGCUGACGGGGUUGCUUCUGGUCAAUGGACAGAGGCCAGCUAACUUGGCCAACAGACGAAAACUACACAGACAUCACUGUUCCCACAGGAGAUGCAUGCCCCUUCAUUCCAGAGUGCCCUUCCCAUGAGGUAUUUCCCUGGGCUGGAAUUAAAUUUAGACAAGGAACAAUCAACACCGAUCUGUUCCUUCAAAAUGCUGAGAAAAAGAAUUAAGCACAGAAGUCCAGAUGACAUUUUGAUAAUGGCACAGUUAUAAUCUACAGAGAUAUCCCAUAAGCCAUCAUCAGGAACCAUAGAGAAAUCAUGAGAAAACUGUUGGAGCAGGUUUUCCUGGAGCUUGGGGAUGCUUUAAGAAGGAAGAAACAAUUAUCAACCAAAAGAUCUUAUCUAGAAGCACUGGAGAAUCAUCGGUGCGGUAUACUCACCACUUUUCUUGGCAUGUCAACAUAGCAAUCUAGUAGUCAGAAAGCAAACAUUGCAAUGUUAGACAAAUUAUGUCCUUGAAAAAGCUUUUGCUGUAUUAAGUGUCACGUACUUGUGUAUCUUUUAACACUCUUAUUAAAAAUAUGCAAGAAUGAAAUUAGUAUUUGACAAACAGUAUUACUGCUUAAAGCCACAAUUAUUUAAUUAGUUUCACAAUUGCUUGAAGAUCAGGUUGCUUUGUUUUAUUCCUGUUGUGUUCAAAAAAUUCUCAGGCCACCACUCCUUAGUAUCUCGGCCUACCAUUCCAGAAUUUCCAACUGCAGCAUGUCAACAAAUACCAGGUUAGACAAUCUGGCUAUUUUUGAAAGAGGAAUUACUCAAAUAUUAACUAAAAUUAACAGAAAAGGCUUACAAGCAUGUUUGAACCUUAAAAAU